CAWRCGGSGKCUAAUACAUGCAAGUCGAGCGAAUGGAUUAAGAGCUUGCUCUUAUGAAGUUAGCGGCGGACGGGUGAGUAACACGUGGGUAACCUGCCCAUAAGACUGGGAUAACUCCGGGAAACCGGGGCUAAUACCGGAUAAYAUUUUGAACCGCAUGGUUCGAAAUUGAAAGGCGGCUUCGGCUGUCACUUAUGGAUGGACCCGCGUCGCAUUAGCUAGUUGGUGAGGUAACGGCUCACCAAGGCAACGAUGCGUAGCCGACCUGAGAGGGUGAUCGGCCACACUGGGACUGAGACACGGCCCAGACUCCUACGGGAGGCAGCAGUAGGGAAUCUUCCGCAAUGGACGAAAGUCUGACGGAGCAACGCCGCGUGAGUGAUGAAGGCUUUCGGGUCGUAAAACUCUGUUGUUAGGGAAGAACAAGUGCUAGUUGAAUAAGCUGGCACCUUGACGGUACCUAACCAGAAAGCCACGGCUAACUACGUGCCAGCAGCCGCGGUAAUACGUAGGUGGCAAGCGUUAUCCGGAAUUAUUGGGCGUAAAGCGCGCGCAGGUGGUUUCUUAAGUCUGAUGUGAAAGCCCACGGCUCAACCGUGGAGGGUCAUUGGAAACUGGGAGACUUGAGUGCAGAAGAGGAAAGUGGAAUUCCAUGUGUAGCGGUGAAAUGCGUAGAGAUAUGGAGGAACACCAGUGGCGAAGGCGACUUUCUGGUCUGUAACUGACACUGAGGCGCGAAAGCGUGGGGAGCAAAACAGGAUUAGAUACCCCUGGUAGUCCACGCCGUAAACGAUGAGUGCUAAGUGUUAGAGGGUUUYCCSCCCUUUUAGUGCUGAAGUUWAACGCAUUUWAGCACUCCGCCUGGGGAGUACGKGCCGCAAAGGCUKRAAACUCAAAAGGAAAUUUGACGGGGGSGCCCGCACAAGCGGUGGAACMAUGUGGUUUAAAUUCAAAGCAACKCKAAAGAAMCCUUWACCMGGGUCYUUGAACAUCCCUCUGAMAACCCCUWAGAAGAWWAGGUCUUUCUCCCU
rnacentral:rRNA from 1 species